rnacentral:rRNA from 1 species
GACGAACGCUGGCGGCGUGCUUAACACAUGCAAGUCGAGCGGAAAGGCCACUUCGGUGGUACUCGAGCGGCGAACGGGUGAGUAACACGUGAGUAAUCUGCCCCUCACUUUGGGAUAGCCACCGGAAACGGUGAUUAAUACCGGAUAUGACCAUAUGUCGCAUGGCGUGUGGUGGAAAGUUUUUCGGUGAGGGAUGUGCUCGCGGCCUAUCAGCUUGAUGGUGAGGUAAUGGCUCACCAUGGCUUCGACGGGUAGCCGGCCUGAGAGGGUGACCGGUGACAAUGGGACUGGGACACAGCCCAGACUACUACGGGCGGCAGCAGUGGAGAAUAUUGGACUAUGGGCGGGAGCCUGAUCCAGCAACGCCGCGUGGGGGAUGACGGCCUUCGGGUUGUAAACCUCUUUCAGUACCGACGAAGCGGAAGUGACGGUAGGUACAGAAGAAGCACCGGCCAACUACGUG